UACGGAGGGUGCAAGCGUUGUUCGGAAUUAUUGGGCGUAAAGGGCGUGUAGGCGGUUCGUUAAGUCUGAUGUGAAAGCCCCGGGCUCAACCUGGGAAGUGCAUUGGAAACUGGCGAACUUGAGUACGGGAGAGGGCAGUGGAAUUCCUAGUGUAGGAGUGAAAUCCGUAGAUAUUAGGAGGAACACCGGUGGCGAAGGCGGCUGCCUGGACCGAUACUGACGCUGAGACGCGAAAGCGUGGGGAGCGAACGGG
rnacentral:rRNA from 1 species